rnacentral:rRNA from 1 species
ACCAGACUCCUACGGGAGGCAGCAGUGGGGAAUAUUGCACAAUGGGGGAAACCCUGAUGCAGCGACGCCGCGUGAGUGAAGAAGUAAUUCGUUAUGUAAAGCUCUAUCAGCAGGGAAGAAAAUGACGGUACCUGAGUAAGAAGCCCCGGCUAACUACGUGCCAGCAGCCGCGGUAAUACGUAGGGGGCAAGCGUUAUCCGGAUUUACUGGGUGUAAAGGGAGCGUAGACGGAGAAGCAAGUCUGAAGUGAAAGCCCGUGGCUUAACCACGGGACUGCUUUGGAAACUGUUUGACUAGAGUGCUGGAGAGGUAAGUGGAAUUCCUAGUGUAGCGGUGAAAUGCGUAGAUAUUAGGAGGAACACCAGUGGCGAAGGCGGCCUGCUGGACGAUGACUGACGUUGAGGCUCGAAAGCGUGGGGAGCAAACAGGAUUAGAUACCCUAGUA